GCAGUGGUAGCUCAAUGAUUAAGGCUCUGGGUUACUGCUCGGGCGGUUGGGGGUUCAAGCCCCAGCGCCACUGCU